rnacentral:rRNA from 1 species
AGCAGUCGCCACGGGAAUACGUAGGUGGCAAGCGUUGUCCGGAAUUAUUGGGCGUAAAGGGCUCGCAGGCGGUUUCUUAAGUCUGAUGUGAAAGCCCCCGGCUCAACCGGGGAGGGUCAUUGGAAACUGGGAAACUUGAGUGCAGAAGAGGAGAGUGGAAUUCCACGUGUAGCGGUGAAAUGCGUAGAGAUGUGGUGGAACACCAGUGGCGAAGGCGACUCUCUGGUCUGUAACUGACGCUGAGGAGCGAAAGCGUGGGGAGCGAACAGGAUUAGAUACCCCUGUAGUCCCUGUCUCUUAUAC